AUCGCUUCUCGGCCUUUUGGCUAAGAUCAAGUGUAGUAUCUGUUCUUAUCUGUUUAAUUUCCUUCAUAGUGGGUGGUAAACUGCUAUUGCUGUCUUCUUAAGAUUCUCUGAAGUUUUAAUUUUGCUCUCCAGACCUUUC
rnacentral:snRNA from 1 species